rnacentral:rRNA from 1 species
GGUUAAGCGACUAAGCGUACACGGUGGAUGCCCUGGCAGUCAGAGGCGAUGAAGGGCGUGCUAAUCUGCGAUAAGCGCCGGUAAGGUGAUAUGAACCGUUAUAACCGGCGAUACCCGAAUGGGGAAACCCAGUGUGAUUCGUCACACUAUCAUUAACUGAAUCCAUAGGUUAAUGAGGGCGAACCGGGGGAACUGAAACAUCUAAGUACCCCGAGGAAAAGAAAUCAACCGAGAUUCCCCCCAGUAGCGGCGAGCGAACGGGGAGGAGCCCAGAGCCUGAAUCAGCAUGUGUGUUAGUGGAAGCGUCUGGAAAGGCGCGCGAUACAGGGUGACAGCCCCGUACACAAAAGCGCAUGUGCUGUGAGCUCGAUGAGUAGGGCGGGACACGUGGUAUCCUGUCUGAAUAUGGGGAAAUUCAUCCUCCAAGGCUAAAUACUCCUGACUGACCGAUAGUGAACCAGUACCGUGAGGGAAAGGCGAAAAGAACCCCGGCGAGGGGAGUGAAAAAGAACCUGAAACCGUGUACGUACAAGCAGUGGGAGCCCCACCACCAAAGCAUUCUCUGGUGUUGAAGGCCCUGCAAAGCAGCAUCGCGGUGGCGGAGCGUCGUUUGCGACGCCCAACACACAAAACAAGCGGUGAGUGCUUUGGGGUGGGGUGACUGCGUACCUUUUGUAUAAUGGGUCAGCGACUUAUAUUCUGUAGCAAGGUUAACCGAAUAGGGGAGCCGGAGGGAAACCGAGUCUUAAUUGGGCGUUAAGUUGCAGGGUAUAGACCCGAAACCCGGUGAUCUAGCCAUGGGCAGGUUGAAGGUUGGGUAACACUAACUGGAGGACCGAACCGACUAAUGUUGAAAAAUUAGCGGAUGACCUGUGGCUGGGGGUGAAAGGCCAAUCAAACCGGGAGAUAGCUGGUUCUCCCCGAAAGCUAUUUAGGUAGCGCCUCGUGAAUUCAUCUCCGGGGGUAGAGCACUGUUUCGGCUAGGGGGCCAUCCCGGCUUACCAACCCGAUGCAAACUGCGAAUACCGGAGAAUGUUAUCACGGGAGACACACGGCGGGUGCUAACGUCCGUCGUGAAGAGGGAAACAACCCAGACCGCCAGCUAAGGUCCCAAAGUCAUGGUUAAGUGGGAAACGAUGUGGGAAGGCCCAGACAGCCAGGAUGUUGGCUUAGAAGCAGCCAUCAUUUAAAGAAAGCGUAAUAGCUCACUGGUCGAGUCGGCCUGCGCGGAAGAUGUAACGGGGCUAAACCAUGCACCGAAGCUGCGGCAGCGACACUCAGGUGUUGUUGGGUAGGGGAGCGUUCUGUAAGCCUGCGAAGGUGGCCUGUGAGGGUUGCUGGAGGUAUCAGAAGUGCGAAUGCUGACAUAAGUAACGAUAAAGCGGGUGAAAAGCCCGCUCGCCGGAAGACCAAGGGUUCCUGUCCAACGUUAAUCGGGGCAGGGUGAGUCGACCCCUAAGGCGAGGCCGAAAGGCGUAGUCGAUGGGAAACGGGUUAAUAUUCCCGUACUUGGUGUUACUGCGAAGGGGGGACGGAGAAGGCUAUGUUGGCCGGGCGACGGUUGUCCCGGUUUAAGCGUGUAGGUGUGUGUUCCAGGUAAAUCCGGUUCACUUUAACACUGAGGCGUGAUGACGAGGCACUACGGUGCUGAAGCAACAAAUGCCCUGCUUCCAGGAAAAGCCUCUAAGCAUCAGGUAACAUCAAAUCGUACCCCAAACCGACACAGGUGGUCAGGUAGAGAAUACCAAGGCGCUUGAGAGAACUCGGGUGAAGGAACUAGGCAAAAUGGUGCCGUAACUUCGGGAGAAGGCACGCUGACACGUAGGUGAAGUGAUUUACUCAUGGAGCUGAAGUCAGUCGAAGAUACCAGCUGGCUGCAACUGUUUAUUAAAAACACAGCACUGUGCAAACACGAAAGUGGACGUAUACGGUGUGACGCCUGCCCGGUGCCGGAAGGUUAAUUGAUGGGGUCAGCGCAAGCGAAGCUCCUGAUCGAAGCCCCGGUAAACGGCGGCCGUAACUAUAACGGUCCUAAGGUAGCGAAAUUCCUUGUCGGGUAAGUUCCGACCUGCACGAAUGGCGUAAUGAUGGCCAGGCUGUCUCCACCCGAGACUCAGUGAAAUUGAACUCGCUGUGAAGAUGCAGUGUACCCGCGGCAAGACGGAAAGACCCCGUGAACCUUUACUAUAGCUUGACACUGAACAUUGAGCCUUGAUGUGUAGGAUAGGUGGGAGGCUUUGAAGUGUGGACGCCAGUCUGCAUGGAGCCGACCUUGAAAUACCACCCUUUAAUGUUUGAUGUUCUAACGUGGACCCGUAAUCCGGGUUGCGGACAGUGUCUGGUGGGUAGUUUGACUGGGGCGGUCUCCUCCUAAAGAGUAACGGAGGAGCACGAAGGUUGGCUAAUCCUGGUCGGACAUCAGGAGGUUAGUGCAAUGGCAUAAGCCAGCUUGACUGCGAGCGUGACGGCGCGAGCAGGUGCGAAAGCAGGUCAUAGUGAUCCGGUGGUUCUGAAUGGAAGGGCCAUCGCUCAACGGAUAAAAGGUACUCCGGGGAUAACAGGCUGAUACCGCCCAAGAGUUCAUAUCGACGGCGGUGUUUGGCACCUCGAUGUCGGCUCAUCACAUCCUGGGGCUGAAGUAGGUCCCAAGGGUAUGGCUGUUCGCCAUUUAAAGUGGUACGCGAGCUGGGUUUAGAACGUCGUGAGACAGUUCGGUCCCUAUCUGCCGUGGGCGCUGGAGAACUGAGGGGGGCUGCUCCUAGUACGAGAGGACCGGAGUGGACGCAUCACUGGUGUUCGGGUUGUCAUGCCAAUGGCACUGCCCGGUAGCUAAAUGCGGAAGAGAUAAGUGCUGAAAGCAUCUAAGCACGAAACUUGCCCCGAGAUGAGUUCUCCCUGAGACUUUAAGUCUCCUGAAGGAACGUUGAAGACGACGACGUUGAUAGGCCGGGUGUGUAAGCGCAGCGAUGCGUUGAGCUAACCGGUACUAAUGAACCGUGAGGCUUAACCUU